GGCCCUGUAGCAGAAUGGCAUAUGCUGCUCCCUCAAAAGGAGUGUACUUGCGGGUUCGAAUCCCGUCUGGGCUAC
rnacentral:tRNA from 3 species